rnacentral:rRNA from 1 species
GACGAACGCUGGCGGCGUGCCUAAUACAUGCAAGUCGAGCGGGCCUCCGGAGGUGCUUGCACCUCCGGACGGCCAGCGGCGGACGGGUGAGUAACACGUGGGCAACCUGCCUUUGAGGCCGGGAUAACACCGGGAAACCGGUGCUAAUACCGGAUACAUCCUCUUUCGCGCCUGCGAGAGGGGAGAAAGACGGUCUUUAAGGCCGUCGCUCAAAGAGGGGCCCGCGGCGCAUUAGCUGGUUGGUGGGGCAAGGGCCUACCAAGGCGACGAUGCGUUGCCGACCUGAGAGGGUGAUCGGCCACACUGGGACUGAGACACGGCCCAGACUCCUGCGGGAGGCAGCAGUAGGGAAUCAUCCGCAAUGGGCGAAAGCCUGACGGUGCAACGCCGCGUGAGUGAGGAAGGUUUUCGGAUCGUAAAGCUCUGUUGUGAGGGAAGAACAGCAUCCGGAGGAAAUGCCGGAGGUUUGCCGGUACCUCACCAGAAAGCCCCGGCUAACUACGUGCCAGCCGCCGCAGUAACAC